rnacentral:rRNA from 1 species
UACGGGGGGGGCAAGCGUUGUUCGGAAUUACUGGGCGUAAAGGGCUCGUAGGCGGCCAACUAAGUCGGGUGUGAAAUCCCCAGGCUUAACCUGGGAACUGCAUCCGAUACUGGAUGGCUUGAAUCCGGGAGAGGGAUGCGGAAUUCCAGGUGUAGCGGUGAAAUGCGUAGAUAUCUGGAGGAACACCGGUGGCGAAGGCGGCAUCCUGGACCGAUACUGACGCUGAGGAGCGAAAGCCAGGGGAGCAAACGGG